GUGGCUCAGUGGUAGAGCGCAUGCCUUGCAUGCAUGAGGCCCUGGGUUCAAUUCCUCAGC
rnacentral:tRNA from 1 species